rnacentral:rRNA from 1 species
GACGAACGCUGGCGGCGCGCUUAACACAUGCAAGUCGAACGGACAGGCCCUGCUUUUGUGCGUUUCUCGAUUGGCGAGCGCGUGAGUAACACGUGAGUAUCCUCCCCUUGUCUUUCGGAUAACAUCAGGGAACUGGGGCUAAUACCGGAUAGGAGCUCCUGCUGCAUGUUGUGCGUUGGAAAGUUUCGGCGGUUGGGGAUGGACUCGCUGCUUAUCAGCUUGUUUGUGGAGUAGUUGCUUACCAAGGCUUUGACGGGUAGCCGGCCUGAGAGGGUUAACAGCGACAUGGGGACUGAGAGAGGGCGCAGUAUGGAACGGGAGGCAGUAGGCGAGAACAUGACACAACGGGGGGAAGUCUGAGGUGAAGAUGUCCGGAGCGUGAAACUCUGUUUUGGGGUGUAAACCGCUGUGGCAGGUGCCGAGGCGGGAGUGACGGUACCUGGUAAAGAAGCACCGGCUAACUACGUG